rnacentral:rRNA from 1 species
UACGGAGGAUCCAAGCGUUAUCCGGAAUCAUUGGGUUUAAAGGGUCCGUAGGCGGUUUUGUAAGUCAGUGGUGAAAGCCCAUCGCUCAACGGUGGAACGGCCAUUGAUACUGCAAGACUUGAAUUAUUAGGAAGUAACUAGAAAUAUGUAGUGUAGCGGUGAAAUGCUUAGAGAUUACAUGGAAUACCAAUUGCGAAGGCAGGUUACUACUAAAUUGAUUGACGCUGAUGGACGAAAGCGUGGGGAGCGAACAGG